rnacentral:tRNA from 1 species
GGGCGCUUAGCUCAGUUGGUUAGAGCACCUCGUUUACACCGAGGGGGUCGGGGGUUCGAGUCCCUCAGCGCCCAC